GGCCUCGUAGCUCAGCUGGUAGAGCGUGCGCGUACAAAGCGUAGGCAACGUCCAUGCGUCGGUUCGAAUUCCAACGAGGCUA
rnacentral:tRNA from 1 species